rnacentral:rRNA from 1 species
GACGUAGGGCGCGAGCGUUGUCCGGAUUUAUUGGGCGUAAAGAGCUCGUAGGCGGCUCGUCGCGUCGACCGUGAAAACCCGCGGCUUAACUGCGGGCUUGCGGUUGAUACGGGCGGGCUAGAGUUCGGUAGGGGAGACUGGAAUUCCUGGUGUAGCGGUGAAAUGCGCAGAUAUCAGGAGGAACACCGGUGGUGAAGGCGGGUCUCUGGGCCGAUACUGACGCUGAGGAGCGAAAGCGUGGGGAGCGAACAGG